rnacentral:lncRNA from 1 species
CAAUUCUCACAGGCUCUGCUAUCAUGUCACAACAGACUGAUUAGGCAUGGAGGAGAGGGCAGUAAAGUGGAAGGUAAGGCUGAAGGAAAGAGAAAAGGAAAGGACUGCAACAUUUUAAUGUAAAGCUGAGAAUACAGUGUAUAUAAUCUGCUUCAGGAUCACGUUCCUAAGGUGCAAAGUGCUGCUUGUUCCAUGCAGUAACAGAGAGAUGAAAGAAAGGAGAAACAGGUGAGGGGGUUUGGAGCUGGAGGGAGUGGAGUGAGGGUGUAGGGAGCUUGAGAGUUAGUUUUGUAGAAGUGGAGAAAAUAGCCACUGAAGUAGUAGGUGAAGAAACGGGGAUUUGAGAGAUUUAAGCGAGGAAAAGACAAGAAGAAGUGCAGUAGACAUCGACUUGAAUUUUCCAAAGAAAAAAGUGAUUAUCGUGGUCCAUAGGGAGGAAGGGAAGGCUUACUCAGAAUGGUCUAAUUAAUUUGAACGCUAAUACAAAGAACACAAUAUGAAGUCUCCAACUCUUCUCUCCGGAUGACUGCUCAUGCCAACCACUGUCUCAGCCAGUAUUGCAGAUAAUUUCACAUGCAACAGCGGGAGCAGGAAUCUGGUAUCACAUAAGAACAACAGGGAGGAACUGUCGCAGCAGCCAGGUUUUAUGGUCGUAGAAAAAGGCAUCGCCGGAAGGCAAGAGGCAGAAGAGAGGAAAAUGCAGCUCCAAUUCGAGCUGAGUCUUCUGUGAAUCCUGAGCCGUCUGUUUUGACGGGAACUG